ACUAAUUUAGAGGCCAUUUUGGAGUCAGACCGUUCACCGGAGAGCUCAUUUGUGAUAGAAAAUGGACUGGGGGAGCAACAGGGAGGAAGUCCAUUAUCAGAAGGUGGAUUCAGUGAGGAAUGGAGCUCUUGUGAUGAUGUCACAAACCGCCCACAUGCAAACAUUUCUGCCAUGUGUACAAAAGCCAACGUAGCCACUGUCAUGAAUGAACAAGAUUCUGGAGAAACAAUUAGCUCUUUAUCAAAUGGUUUUGAUAGCAGUGAUGGUUAUAGUUUUUCCAGUGAAGGAAAAGAAGAGACGGAGGACAGCACUCAGUCAUCAUCUAGUCUUCAUGGUUCUGCAAGAAAUAAGAGAACCCAAUCAGGGAAAGGCUCUGUGUUUUCUGUUUUUUCUCGAAUGCCCUCAUUCCGCAAGAUUAAACGAGAACACAAAGGCAAUAGCAAGGUUGAUCCAGAAAUUAAGGACUCCAGUGAGGAAGGAGAUGAACGGGGUGAGUUGAAGUACAAUAGGUCACCCACACAAAACAAAUCCAACUCUUCACUGAACAAGACUUCUAUUUCUCAAAGUACAGAUCAUCUUUCAGACAUUACAAAGUUUGUUGACCACUCCAGUGAUGAUAUUUUUGAAAAAGCUUUUGCUUUAAAUAUGCAGAAUAGAGAGAAAUCCCCAAAUUUGUAUCAGCAGCACAAAGAUGGAGAUGUACUGAAUUUUAGAGUUUCCCCAACGACAGAGGGAUUUCAACAAAAAAGAAGCAAGAGUACCGAUAACUUAAACUUGCGCAUGAAACUCGCAAUGGCUCACAAGUCUCUGUCUAGCCUGUUUGAGUCCAGGUAUCCUGAGAGGGACAACCAGGAGCAGAUUGCACAGUCAGAGAACGAGGAGGUAAAAACCAAGCAGUCCUGGAGGAAGUUGAAACGGUCUAAGGAAGCAGAACUUUGCAAAAGAACUCUAUCGGUUCCUGGGAUGGUCUGUGACAAGUCCAUACAUCAGAGCCAUAUCGAUUGUGCCUUCUGUGCUCCUCAGAACAGGUCCAGACUUAAUAGCUCACCAGCUUCCCAAAAGAGUUUGAGGAACACUUGCCAUUCUGAUUCACAGAGUUUGAAAUCUUGUCCUCAGGAACAGUCUGAAGACAGAAAAUAUCUGGAAGGAGGUGAGCUGCCUUGUGCUCCUUACUUAGAUUCUGACCAGAUCUCAGAAGAUGGCUUCGAGUCCAGUGUAGAGGAUAGGUCGCAAUCACCUGUACACCCAACUGUUUUUGCACUUGCAAACCAGAUGUCACCUACCUGGACCAGAUCUUUAAGCUGUUUUGAGACCACUGAUACGCCAACAAGGCCCAUGAGCCCUAAACCUCACAGUCCUGGUCUGGGCUGGACACACCGGAGGAGCUUCCGUUACCCCUCGAGAUCUGUUGCAUCUUCUCUCUGUUCGCUCGGUCAAGGAGUGAGCACUGACGGUAUCUCUGAUCCACCUCAGAGACCGACGUCUCUGAAACCAAGAACAGCACAACUCACAACAACCCACUCUUUUGAUUCUGAGUCCUUACUAGAGGACAGCAGUUCAGACAGCCA
ensembl:lncRNA